rnacentral:rRNA from 1 species
AUUGGUCAAUGGGGGAAACCCUGAACCAGCAACGCCGCGUGAGGGAAGACGGUUUUCGGAUUGUAAACCUCUGUCCUCUGUGAAGAUAAUGACGGUAGCAGAGGAGGAAGCUCCGGCUAACUACGUGCC